rnacentral:rRNA from 1 species
ACCUCCACUCAGGCAAGAUUACCCGCUGAACUUAAGCAUAUCAGUAAGCGGAGGAAAAGAAAACAACAGUGAUUCCCAUAGUAACUGCGAGUGAAGUGGGAAGAGCCCAACGUUGAAUCGCCUUUGCCUCUUCACGGAGGUGCGAGUAAAUCGCAGGCGAAAUGUAACGUAUGGAUGUACUGUACCAAGUUUAGUCGUGUUAUCAAAGUAUACCUGGAAAGGUGCGCCAUAGAGGGUGACAGCCCCGUGUGUGAUAACAUGAGUGUUGUGUAAGACUAAGCUUGCUUGUGAAUGCAAGUGUGGCAGUAUAUUCCAUGAGUCGGGUUGUUUGGGAUUGCAGCCCAAAGUGGGUGGUAAACUCCAUCCAAGGCUAAAUACUAGCACAAGACCGAUAGCGAACAAGUACCGUGAGGGAAAGUUGAAAAGUAUUCCGAAAGGAAGGUCAAAAGGACGUGAAACCGUUAAAGGGGAAGCGGAUGGAUGGGUCGAAGUAAAUACGAUUCCACACAGCACAGCAUUAUGUUAAUUGUUAGAUGUAAUGUGUAUACUGUGUGAGAUAGAGUAAUCAGCCGAAACAAUCGUUGUGGGUACGGCCGAGGCAAGUUGGGUAGUUGGCAGUGGUCAUCCGCUAUUUAGCCGAAAGGUGUUAGUACGCGGUCACUGGCUAUUGUUGAUUACUACUUGUUAGUGAUGCGCGUUUCAGGGGUUUUACGACCUUUGAAAUAGGAACCGCGUUUAUGACUCGGUGUAUAAAAAUUCGUCCAUGAUGAUUGAGAAUUAGCGUUGUUGAAACGGUGCUGAGUGCUAUGAUGUUUCUGAAAAGAAAGCAUAGUAAUGUGUACAUGAAGUGUGACAUGUCCGUUCUGCUACCAAUUGGGUAGUGAUGCAUUACAUUUUGUACUUGUACAGGGUGCCUAUGUGUUAUGGUCCAGUUGGGUCUGUUGAUUCACGUUGAUGGACUAGUCAGUGAUGCUCAUACUGUGCGGGACAAGGUGUGGCAGUAAUAUGUCACAUGUUGUUUCAGUUGUGAGUGUGACCCCGUUAAAGUUGCCUGUGGGUAAACGUGAUUUAUCACGGCCAUUGUUCGCUGACAGUGGAACGAUAUACGCGUAUCACCGUAGCUAGACAUGUACAUGUACACUAGUUUUGCAUGGUUUUCGAAUCAUGUAAAACCAGAAACUUGGCUAUUUUUCGGCGAGACACCAAUCUAUCCGACCCGUCUUGAAACACGGACCAAGGAGCCUAACAUAUGCGCGAGUCAAAGGGUGAUUGAAACCCAUAGUAUCUUUAUGAUGCCGGCUGUUGGUAUGCAAGGUGAAUUAACAAGGUAUCAACAGUUGAGAGAGUGAUAAGGCGUAAUGAAAGUGUCCACCAGUUGUGGUGAUGAGAUGGGAUCCCGUUUUGCAUUCCUAACCAGAGUGUAUACACAAUGUCGUGUUGUGAUAGAACGGGCGCACCAUCAGCCGGUCUGCACGUAGGUGUGGAUUGAGCAAGAGCGCAUAUGCUAGAACCCGAAAGAUGGUGAACUAUUCCUGGGUAGGGCGAAGCCAAAGGAAACUCUGGUGGAGGCUCGCAGCGAUUCUGACGUGCAAAUCGAUCGUCAAACCUGGGUAUAGGGGCGAAAGACUAAUCGAACCAUCUAGUAGCUGGUUCCUUCCGAAAUAUCCCUCAGGAUCGCUGAGACUUGUAAUGUACAACGGUAGUUUCAUCGGGUAGAGCUAAUGAUUAGAGUUAUUUGGGAGGUAUCACUCCUGAAACUGUUAUCAAACUGCCAACCGGUGAGAUUUAUUCGGGUGAUUUCUUUGAGGUUUCAUGUGUGGUUAUUGAUCGAAUAGUGGUGUGUGUAAAAGCACAAGUACUUGAGGUUGAUAGGGUCAAACCUGUUGGCUUCCUUUGAGUAAUCACAUAUGGACUGCGGCUGAUUGUAGUAAAACUCUGGUAUGGAUACUUUUCGGAGUAUCAAUGUCAGGGAUCAUUGAGUUGGUGGUGUACAAAUUGGUAUACUCACAGGGACUUGAUGGUCUGUUGGUUUUGCUUCACAAUACAGUCACAGGCAGAGUAUACUGCGCCAAUCAAUGUUAUUAGAGGUGAAUCAUUCCCGAUAGGUUGUGUUCAGGCUGUGCAAACAGUUUGAUCAUGACCCUGCAUCAAAAAGUCUGUGUAAGCUCUAGUGUUUAUUGAAACACACACUGAUGGCGCGAUGCAGAAUUGAAUACCAGAGUCUCAAGUGGGCCGUUUCUGGUAAGCAGAACUGGCGAUGCGGGAUGAACCGAAAGCUGGGUUAAGGUGCCCAAGUGGACGUCAACGGACACCAUCAAAGGCGUCAAUCAGUAAAGAUAGCAGGACGGUGGCCAUGGAAGUCGGUAUCCGCUAAGGAGUGUGUCACAACUCACCUGCUGAAUCGGUUGGCCCUGAAAAUGGAUGGCGCUUAAGCGUUCCACCGAUACCCAGCCGUCRAUGAACGAAAUGACAUAACUAUCGACGGGUAGGAAGGCGCGACGGUUUUUGUGAUGUGAGAAAGGAUGCUUGCAUUUUUUCUAUCACAUCUCAUACAUUAAUAGUGCUGAGAAGGAUUGAGACGUAAGUCUAUCCGGAGCAGCCGUCGGUGCAGAUCUUGGUGGUAGUAGCAACUAUUCGAAUGAGAACUUUGAAGGCCGAGGUGGAGACGGGUUCCACGUGAACAGCAUUUGGACGUGGGUCAGUCGGUCCUAAGCAGUCGCCUAACAGCAUGUUUCAGGCAAAGAGAAGAGGAUGUGUAACGCAAGUCCACUUCUAAGGCUGCGAAAGGGAAUCCGGUUAAUAUUCCGGAACCAAGUGGCGUGUACUUCAUCAACAUUAAAUGCUGGCACAGCAAUGUGUUGGUGUUUAAUGGGGUAUGGAGUACGUAUACGGAGAUGGCCGUGAAGAUGUGUGAGAGGAGUGAGGUAAAACUUGCCACUCUCAAACAUAUUCACAGGUCUUGGCGGUAACGCAAGCAAACCCGGAGACAUCCUUCAUGGUCCUGGAAAGAGUUAUCUUUUCUUGUUAACAGACUUAAUGAUACGCCCUGGAAAAGAGUCAGUCUGAGAUGGGGCUAUGGGUCUGGAAGAGCAUCGCAGUUUCGGCGGUGUCCGGUGUACCAUGGUGUUAAGGGUCCUUGAAAAUCCGGGGGCGCGUAAUUCACAUAAUAACAUUCAAUGUAGCAUCUCGUACAUAGAAUGUAUGUGUAUUCAUUUUCGCACUUGUCCGUACCGAAUCCGCAUCAGGUCUCCAAGGUGAACAGCCUCUGGCGUUGAAACAAUGUAGGUAAGGGAAGUCGGCAAAAUCGAUCCGUAACUUCGGGACAAGGAUUGGCUCUAAGGGUUGAGUUACCCGGGCUAUGGAUUGUAUCUUUAAAGAUGGUGUAAUCACUGAUGAUGAAAGAGGCAUAUGAAGGGCAACUGGAGUGUGUCGCUUUCAUUAUUGCGUGGUCACAUUUGUUUUUAAAGAUCGGUGUAGUUGAGAUAACUAUUCUUGGUGUCAAAACUAAGGUAGUUAUUUCCCUGGUGAGGUGGUGGGUGUGACAAACGCUCAUUGUAUACCCUCAUCAAGUUGCCCUUUACAGAGGUGAUUGGGUGCUGAAUAUGAUGUAUGAAGCUUGUGAUAUACCAACUUUUACAUAUGUAAGAGUGGAGUUGCAAGUUGGUCAGUGUGUGUGUGCAUGAGAAUGAUCAUAGUUUAAAGCUGGGUUAUUUUCUCACCRCAGGCUGGUCUAUCAUAUGUUUGUUCAGUGCUCGGCGGGUGACAAAUGAACAACCAACUUAGAACUGUCACUGACUCGGGGAAUCCGACUGUUUAAUUAAAACAAAGCAUUGCGAUGGCUGGAAACGGUGUUGAUGCAAUGUGAUUUCUGCCCAGUGCUCUGAAUGUGAAAGUGCGGAAACGCAACAAAGCGCGGGUAAACGGCGGGAGUAACUAUGACUCUGUUAAGGUAGCCAAAUGCCUCGUCAUCUAAUUAGUGACGCGCAUGAAUGGAUCAACGAGAUUCCCACUGUCCCUACCUACCAUUCAGCGAAACCACAGUCAAGGGAACGGGCUUGACUGAGACAGCGGGGAAAGAAGACCCUGUUGAGCUUGACUCUAGUUUGACUUUGUGAAAAGACAUUAGAGGUGUAGCAUAGGUGGGAGGUAGUUGAUCAUUACAUUUGUAAAAGGAUGUAACAGCUGCCGAUCUUGAAAUACCACCACUUUGGUCGUUUUUUUACUUACUCGGURAUACAGGAAGGAUCAACUCCACAUAAUGUAUGAAUUAUGUUACAAAAGGUGUAAAAAUCCUUGUGUAACAUGAGACAUGCAUUGUUUUAUCUCUGAUGCAUGCCAUGUAGAUGCCUUUUAAAGGUGUCUGUGUGUAGUAUGUAUCGAGGUGGAGAUUAUGGUUCGUUGUUUAGUGUUAAAAGCGAGUGUGGUACGAAGAGUAAAAAAGCGUACUCACUGCGCUGACCUGUGAAGCAGAUAGUACAUUGGUGAUGUGAUUUAAACCCAUAUCAACAGUGUAUCUGUUUGUUUCCUUGACAGCGUAGCAACACCCUUGGUAUGUGUGUGAGAGGUGUGGUUUCGGCUGCAUCUCACAUGCAUGUGGUUAAGGUAAAUGUUGUUGCGAUGAUUUGCCGAGGACAGAGUCAGAUGGGGAGUUUGACUGGGGCGGUACAUCCUUAUAACACAACGAG